GAGCAGGUGCGAAAGCAGGUCAUAGUGAUCCGGUGGUUCUGAAUGGAAGGGCCAUCGCUCAACGGAUAAAAGGUACUCCGGGGAUAACAGGCUGAUACCGCCCAAGAGUUCAUAUCGACGGCGGUGUUUGGCACCUCGAUGUCGGCUCAUCACAUCCUGGGGCUGAAGUAGGUCCCAAGGGUAUGGCUGUUCGCCAUUUAAAGUGGUACGCGAGCUGGGUUUAGAACGUCGUGAGACAGUUCGGUCCCUAUCUGCCGUGGGCGCUGGAGAAUUGAGGGGGGCUGCUCCUAGUACGAGAGGACCGGAGUGGACGCAUCACUGGUGUUCGGGUUGUCAUGCCAAUGGCACUGCCCGGUAGCUAAAUGCGGAAGAGAUAAGUGCUGAAAGCAUCUAAGCACGAAACUUGCCCCGAGAUGAGUUCUCCCUGAGACUUUAAGUCUCCUGAAGGAACGUUAAAGACGAUGACGUUGAUAGGCCGGGUGUGUAAGCGCAGCGAUGCGUUGAGCUAACCGGUACUAAUGAACCGUGAGGCUUAACCUUACAACGCCGAAG
rnacentral:rRNA from 1 species